GGGCGCAAKYCUGAUGCAGCCNUGCCGCGUGUGUGAAGAAGGCCUUCGGGUUGUAAAGCACUUUCAGCGGGGAGGAAGGCGAUAAGGUUAAUAACCUCAUCGAUUGACGUUACCCGCAGAAGAAGCACCGGCUAACUCCGUGCCAGCAGCCGCGGUAAUACGGAGGGUGCAARMRWWAAWNGGAAUUACUGGGCGUAAAGCGCACGCAGGCGGUCUGUNAAGUCGGAUGUGAAAUCCCCGGGCUCAACCUGGGAACUGCAUUCGAAACUGGCAGGCUAGAGUCUUGUAGAGGGGGGUAGAAUUNCNAGGUGUAGCGGUGAAAUGCGUAGAGAUCUGGAGGAAUACC
rnacentral:rRNA from 1 species